GGGUAGAACGCUGGCGGCGUGCCUAUACAUGCAAGUCGAGCGGAUCGAUGGGAGCUUGCUCCCUGAGAUCAGCGGCGGACGGGUGAGUAACACGUGGGUAACCUGCCUGUAAGACUGGGAUAACUCCGGGAAACCGGGGCUAAUACCGGAUAACACCUACCCCCGCAUGGGGGAAGGUUGAAAGGUGGCUUCGGCUAUCACUUACAGAUGGACCCGCGGCGCAUUAGCUAGUUGGUGAGGUAACGGCUCACCAAGGCGACGAUGCGUAGCCGACCUGAGAGGGUGAUCGGCCACACUGGGACUGAGACACGGCCCAGACUCCUACGGGAGGCAGCAGUAGGGAAUCUUCCGCAAUGGACGAAAGUCUGACGGAGCAACGCCGCGUGAGUGAAGAAGGUUUUCGGAUCGUAAAACUCUGUUGUUAGGGAAGAACAAGUGCCGUUCGAAUAGGGCGGCACCUUGACGGUACCUAACCAGAAAGCCACGGCUAACUACGUGCCAGCCCGCCGCAGUAA
rnacentral:rRNA from 2 species